rnacentral:lncRNA from 1 species
CCAACAAUGAAGCAUAAAUCCAUUCCUAGAGGGUGGGGUCUGCAAGGAGAAGGACAUUGUCAUCUUCAUUAGAUUGUUUAUAUUCAGCUUGGUGUCAGACUACUGUGGUGGACAUUCUUGGGGAAGGUGAUUUGCCACACCACCAGGAACUACAUCUGUAUGGCUAAAGAAUAAAGAAGAUAAUAUCAGAAGUGCAUCUGAAGAGGAAGGUACCAAAUGGGCUCUGGGAGAACCACCUCACUUUACCAGCAUGAAGCCCCACCAGCCCUGCACUCCCAGCCUGUGGACUGUCACUCAGCAUCUUCUCAGCCUCUCAGCCGCACCUUAGGGCAGGCAGCUCCAAACAUUGGUAAGGACUGUACGACGCCACAUGCCCCGCGGCUGGACAAGGCAGAGGAGAAAAACUCACACAGGCACAAGAAUUUGAGAGUUCAAAUGAACUUGAGAGUUCUGAGUUCAAAGACGAGUCUGAUUUUCUUUCUUAAUAAAAGGCCAGUGAGGGAGGGUCUCCUGGCCUAAUCCAAAGGCAGCAAGCAGAUCACUGUUUGGUUGGGGAGAAGCGUGAGUCUCCACCGUCCUGGACCCAGCAGGGUACUCGCAUUCAGACCAUGGGUUCCCCGACCAAGAGCACUGCAGUUAGCUUAGGCGGGGAGGCGGGCCCUGCUGGGAGCGUGCUGGGCUAGAAGAGUUAUGUGGCUUGAAUUCACGUACACAAGGGACUAGACAAGCACACACUGGGCGGUCUUGACUCUGUACAUGGCAAGUCCUGGCCUGGGUCCCCCCCCAGGUCCCUGAGCAUUAAAAGUACAAAGGUGGGCUGGGUGCAGUGGCUCACGCCUGUAAUCCCAGCUCUUUGGAAGGCUGAGGCGGGUGGAUCACGAGGUC